CCAGCCUGGGUGACAUGAGCAAAAUUCCAUCUCAAAAAAGAAAAAAAAAUGUAUAUAUUUGGGGGCACUCACUAGGCGACAGGCACUAUUUUAGAUUCCAGGGAUACCAUGGUGAACAAAGCAAAGUUCCUGUCCCCAUGGAGCUCAUAUCUAGCUGGGAAAUGUGGUAGUUUUAAGACAUGUCUGCAAAUUCUUUCAUCUUUUUCUCAUCAAGAUGUGGGUUCUCUAUUCCUCACCUUGAACCUGGGCCCACCUUAAUGAUUGGUUGGUCACCAGCAUAAAGAGGAAGUGAUAUUCUGUGACUUCCAGGCUGGGCCAUAGAAGCCAGGCAGUUUCCUCUUGGUUCCCUGGAUCACUUGCACUGGAGCUGCCACGUAAGAAGUCUGACCAUCCCGAGGCCUCUAUGCUGUGAGGAAGCCCAAAUUAGUCCACAUGGAGAUGCCCUGAGUCUACAAGAAAAGAGAGGACAGACAGAGAUGCUCCUCUAGACACCAUUUCGCUGAAACCACAUGAGGGUUCACCAAGCCAAGACCGCUGAGCUGAGCCUUUCCCAGGUUCCUGACCACAGAAACCAUAAGAGAUAAUAACGUGAUUGAUGGUGGCCAGACACAGUGACUCACACCUGAAAUCCCAGCACUUUGGGAGGCUGAGGUGAGAGAAUUGCUUCAGGCCAGGAGUUUGAGACCAGCCUAGGCAACAUGGGGUGAUCUUAUCUCUACAAAAAAGUCUAAAUAUUAACCAGAUGUGAUGGCAAGAGUCCAAUCUCAGAAGGUAUGAAUGGCUAAGACGUC
rnacentral:lncRNA from 1 species